rnacentral:lncRNA from 1 species
ACUGGUUCUUGGGAAUUUCAAGAAGAAACUUGUUUUCUUAUCCUCACCUAUAAAGACCCUUCCCAGCUGUAAGAAUUUACAGCUACAAUCCAAGAAAUGAGAUUGCAUUUUACAAGAAAAGAAAACUGAUGAUUCUUGCCCAAAACAUGAGAAGUAGAAGGAAUGUGAGAGAAAAUAAUGUAGAUUCCGUCCAGGAAGUGCUAGGUGCUUUCCUGGUGGGUACAUUUACAAAUUAGGGACAUUUUAAUUAAUCUACUGGAUUUGUGAUUCUGUCUGCUACUAUCUUCUUUUUCUUGACCUUAUGAAAGAUUUAUAGAUGGCUUCAACUGAAACUACAGGAAAUGACUCAUGGUUAUCCCUGAAGAUAUUAGAGCCAGAUUUCCAUUCCUUAGGGCUGAUGCAUAGCAGCUCUUUGAUAAAUAUUUGCUAAAUAAAUGACAAAUUUUAGAA